CCUAGGUGUGAGAGGAGCGUGAAUAAGUACGGCCAUUGGACCCUAUCAAAUGCUUUUUCAGCAUCGAGCGAAAGCAAUAAUGUUGGGGUAUUUAGGGUUGCCUGUUUCCAUAUGAGAUCAAUAUUUUUGCGAGUAUUCUCAAAUAAUUGCCUACCGGGAAUAAAGCCUACCUGGUCCGCAUCGACUAGCUCUGUAAGAUACGGGUUUAUUCUAU